CUUUUUGCCUUCAGUCUGUGGUCCAGCUCACCCCUAAACCAUCUCGAUUGGGUUCAGGUCCGGUGACUGUGGAGGCCAGGUCAUCUGGCGCAGCACCCCAUCACUCUCCUUCUUGGUCAAAUAGCCCUUGAUGCCUUCAGUGUGACUCGACAAUUUUCAUAGUCAUGAAAAUAAAGAAAACUCUUUGAAUGAGAAGGUGUGUCCAAACUUUUGGCCUGUACUGUAUCUCAUCAGACUCGGACAACAAUAGUUGAUGCUUCCUGCAGGUGUAACAGGUUCAAAAAGAGAUUGCUCCUUUCUAUCAUUGACAUAUGUCUCUUUGUUGGAGAUUUUGUAACACAGCCUUAUAAAAGAUGUGGGCCAAUGUUUGAAUGACAAACUUUACACAUUUUCAGUGUUUGCUAUGAACAAAGUAAACCCAAGCCAAUGCUAGCUUGACAUGAAUGCCUCUUACUUUCACCCUACAUUGUGAGUGGUUCCAGGUCCUUGACAGUCAAUCACAUACCCUUUUGUAGUGAUUUAACAAUUAUCCUUUCGGUUUAGGUGAUGCUGCCAUCGGUGAUGGUGUAAGUCGGUACUUCAUCAGCUUUGCUAUGCAGACCUUGCAGUCUGGAUUCCACAUCAAUUUUGGAAAUGCUGAUGUGACUAGGCUGUAAGAGGGACAGAAGGAUCACCUCAUCCCAUGUGCCUCCCAGCCACUCAUUGAUUCUGACCUUUUUCUGAUGGCAGGUAGAAUGUUGGGAUAUUCAUUUAUACAUGGUGGCCUGGGAUUGCCAGGGAUCAGUCCUGCUGUAGUCCAUGUGCUCUUAGGGGGCCAGUUGGAGACAGCGACAUUGGUAUUGGAGGAUUGCCCUGAUAUCGAUCAAAGGAACAUAAUCCAGUUGCUGGAUGGCAACAGGGAGCUUUCUGAGGACCAGAAAGCGGCUGUCAAUAGCCUAGUUGACAUGUGGGAAUUGACACGACUGACUAAUCUGAACAGACAAUAUUUUCAUCAGAGGCUGUUGCAGCAUGCGUGGUUAUGAAUCAAACAGAUAAGAAGGGGCUUAA